CACACACUGCCUUAGAUCCGCUCCUCGGACGGGGCCUGUUGCAGUGGAGUGCGCCCUCUAGGGUUGCCUUCCUGUCCAGUCUCCGUUCAGCAACACUUGUCAAUGUUGUGUUCCAUGGGGAGUGCUUGAGUCAUUAGUGUGUAAGAGUAGAAUACCUCCACUGUGAGCUGGUAGUGCGUUGUGUGCAGACCUACCCCUCACCCCCACCAGUGGAGGGGGAGGGGGAACUGCCUCCCAAGGCAGUUGGUCAACUGAUUACACAUGAUGGCAGGCUUGUGGUGGGGACAUU